CCUACGGGAGGCAGCACUGGGGAAUAUUGGACAAUGGGGGGAACCCUGAUCCAGCCAUGCCGCGUGUGUGAAGAAGGCCCUCGGGUUGUAAAGCACUUUCAGUGAGGAAGAACGCCUGGUGGUUAAUACCCAUCAGGAAAGACAUCACUCACAGAAGAAGCACCGGCUAACUCCGUGCCAGCAGCCGCGGUAAUACGGAGGGUGCGAGCGUUAAUCGGAAUUACUGGGCGUAAAGCGCGCGUAGGUGGCUUGAUAAGCCGGUUGUGAAAGCCCCGGGCUCAACCUGGGAACGGCAUCCGGAACUGUCAAGCUAGAGUGCAGGAGAGGAAGGUAGAAUUCCCGGUGUAGCGGUGAAAUGCGUAGAGAUCGGGAGGAAUACCAGUGGCGAAGGCGGCCUUCUGGACUGACACUGACACUGAGGUGCGAAAGCGUGGGUAGCAAACAGGAUUAGAUACCCUUGUAGUC
rnacentral:rRNA from 1 species